CUCACUCCCUGACAUAUAUCACAUACGCGCACAGACAUACCACAGACACACCACGUGUGUCUACCACACACAGCACACACAGAUCAUCCCCAAACCACGCCCCAGCUACUACACUGUCUUCUCUAAGAGAAGGUCCGAGCCCCAGGGGCCACUCCUUGUGGUCCACUCCCAAGCCUGACGACCUGUCCCUCUCUCCCCACAUGUCCUCGCCUAAUGGGCCGUGGGAUGCCGUUUAACUUUUAACAAGUGCUUGUUAGAGCUUUGCUUGUGAAGGGAACAAGACCCCGUCACUGACUGCAGAGAGAGAGGGAGACCAAGACCACGGCCGCCCAGCUGGACUGGACUCCCCCACUGUAUGUGUCCUGCUCCAUGAACCAUGGGAGAGUAGGCCUGCAGCGUCUUUUCUUGGCCGCGUCCGGUGAGCUCUGCUUGAAGCCUGGCCUCCAGCUCUCCAGAAAGGCCGAAAUGAGAAUCACCUUGCUGGACACCAUCCUGGUGUCUUCAUAAAACUUCAGGGAUCGAACUCACGACUGCACACUUGCAAGGCAGGCACUUAUGCCGCUGAGCUAAAUCCCCGGCCCCAGGAAUUUUAAAAUGAAGAAUAGUCACUGAAACAAAAAAAGCAGUGGAGGGAAUAAGACGGAGAAGAGACACAUUCAAGAGGAUGCACGAGCUGGAAGCCGGUGUGGAGCUGGGGAGGGCAGCAGAGAAACUGAAGAGGCGGAAUGGGACCGAGCAAGGGGAAGCCACAGUGAGGGGACUGGGGGCUCCUUGUCCGCCUGGCAGGGUCCGAGGAGGACAGAACAGGACAGUGAGCAAAGGGAGAGACUCACUGGGGUUUUCCAGGACUGGAAGAAAACACAGCCCCCCUCAGCCGGAAGGGCACGCUGAGUAUGGAGCAGAAUAAGCAGAAAUAAAUCUGCUCCUGCAUAGAUCACAGCUCCCAGGGAACUGCCGCAGGCAGCUGUGGUGACAGCCGGGCCCUCGCUGGCACCGUCAGGAGGCGGAGACAUCAGAGGGUGACAGUCACCCUGCACUGCCCUCAGCACCAAACCCGCAGAUGGGUAUCAAAACAUGGAAAGAGCCAGUUUAACGUCGCUCUUCGGUACACAUAAGGGACUCUUUCAUUCCAAGUGCCUCAAGCACCCAUCAGCAGGGCUGCUGGGAGUGACCGGUCAUGGCUGUGUGCUACUGGAAGAGGAUGAACUUGUUGAAAAUGGCCCUGCUUCUUUAGAGAGGUGACACAGCUGGUUCUGGAGGAGGAGCAGAAGAGGGACUGUCACAUUUUGAUUUGGUACAACGGUCUGCCUGCCUUUGGCUUUGUUCGCUGGGGUUGCAGAUAUCUGUGGUUAGCUGCAGUGUGAGAGUCUUAAGUGGGAAUUCCUAGAAGUGAACAAGCCAUAAACGUUGCAUUGUGUCUUCUGACAACCGUGAUGGGGCUUCCUGCUGCUCUGCCCCUCCUGCCUGGGCUGAGGUCACGGAGGAGGACCCACCUCAUGUUUCCAGAGCCUGCCUUCCUGUUGGGUGGCACUGGGCAGCGGUGUCCACUGCGCUUUGCAUCGCAUCUCACAAACUUUUCAGAGAGUAGCAAGAAUGAUGGGAAAAAUGUGUUUGAAGGCUAUUUUAAGAGGGAUUAACAGCAAUAGGUCUUUCACGGAAAUAAAUUUAAAAAAAUUUAAAUAUUCACUGUAUAUGUCUAUCAGUCCUGGCGUAUUAUUAAAAUAGUUUCAUUUUAGUAUUUGUUACUGUUGUGGCUCUCUUCCUGUGCCUAUUUAUAAAUGAAAUUUUGCCAUAGGCAUGGAGGCAUGGGACAAGAUGUGGUGUGCAUGGGUUCAGGCUGUCCAAUGUAUUAUCUAAACCAUGGUAAAGUGCACCCAAGCAUUACUUGUAAGAUUAAAAAGGACAAAAAUGACUCCCCCGACCAGGGACCCAGCACCUUCUAAACUCUCGAUCAGAGGCCCGCGGUUCCUCCACUGGCUUAGUCCUUUUCCACGUCCUACGGAGCUCUCUGCCUCCUUCUGUAUAAUCUUCCUGGGAGUAAAGAUG